UACGGAGGGGACUAGCGUUGUCCGGAAUCAUUGGGCGUAAAGAGCGUGUAGGCGGCCACUUAAGUCCUGCGUGAAAUCUUGCGGCUCAACCGCAAGCGGUCGUGGGAAACUGGGUGGCUAGAGUGCGGGAGAGGAGAGUGGAAUUCCUGGUGUAGCGGUGGAAUGCGCAGAUAUCAGGAAGAACACCCGUGGCGAAGGCGGCUCUCUGGAACGCAACUGACGCUGAGACGCGAAAGCGUGGGGAGCAAACAGG
rnacentral:rRNA from 1 species